rnacentral:rRNA from 1 species
UGCAAGUCGAACGGUGACCGAGGAGCUUGCUCCUCGUGAUCAGUGGCGAACGGGUGAGUAACACGUGAGUAACCUGCCCCAGACUCUGGAAUAACCCCGGGAAACCGGAGCUAAUACCGGAUACGAGACGGAGUCGCAUGACUACCGUCUGGAAAGUUUUUCGGUCUGGGAUGGACUCGCGGCCUAUCAGCUUGUUGGUGAGGUAGUGGCUCACCAAGGCGACGACGGGUAGCCGGCCUGAGAGGGCGACCGGCCACACUGGGACUGAGACACGGCCCAGACUCCUACGGGAGGCAGCAGUGGGGAAUAUUGCACAAUGGGCGAAAGCCUGAUGCAGCGACGCCGCGUGAGGGAUGACGGCCUUCGGGUUGUAAACCUCUUUCAGUAGGGAAGAAGCGAAAGUGACGGUACCUACAGAAGAAGCACCGGCUAACUACGUGCCAGCAGCCGCGGUAAUACGUAGGGUGCGAGCGUUGUCCGGAAUUAUUGGGCGUAAAGAGCUUGUAGGCGGUUUGUCGCGUCUGCUGUGAAAAUCCGGGGCUCAACCCCGGACUUGCAGUGGGUACGGGCAGACUAGAGUGUGGUAGGGGAGACUGGAAUUCCUGGUGUAGCGGUGGAAUGCGCAGAUAUCAGGAGGAACACCGAUGGCGAAGGCAGGUCUCUGGGCCACUACUGACGCUGAGAAGCGAAAGCAUGGGGAGCGAACAGGAUUAGAUACCCUGGUAGUCCAUGCCGUAAACGGUGGGCACUAGGUGUGGGUCUCAUUCCACGAGAUCCGUGCCGCAGCUAA